rnacentral:tRNA from 2 species
UUAAUUGAAACCAAAUUAGAGGUAUAUCACUGUUAAUGAUAAAAAUGGAUUUUCCCAAUUAAA